UUUUAAUUGUCGCAGUAGACUUUAAUAAACCGCAGCUCAGAGCCCUAAUUUCUUAUAGCAAUCCAUCCGGCUCGCGUGUGCGAUCCUUCGAGGUCUUUCAUCGUCUUCUCUCUCGCCCUCUUUUCUCUCUUCUCAGUCCGAUCAACCCCGAGGUUCAUCUGCCCGUCGGUGACUACAGCUCCCAUCGCCAUCGCCAUCGCCAUCGCCAGCGAGUCCCGCUGCUACCGAGUCGCACCGCCAGAGUCCUUCCGUCAGAGUCCUACCGUUCAGUUUCUCCUGCAAUCCGCGAGAUUUUGGUUUACCAAUAUGUGCAAUGUGAGCUUUAAGCUUGGAACUAGGUGGAACUUGUUUGGGUGCUGGCUCCUCACCCCCGGUGAUAUAUUGUUAGUAGUAGGGUUCAUCGGCUCAUUAGGAUUGUUUGGCUUUUUCAUUGUAACUUGUUGAGUAUUAGGGAGCAUUUGAACCUUUUUAAGGAAUUUUUUUUUCGGAUAUUAACUCGUAGGCCCCUCUAUGAAUUUUAACU